GACGAACCGUGCGAACGUUAUUCGGAAUCACUGGGCUUAAAGCGCGUGUAGGCGGGACGGCACGUCUGUCGCUGAAAUCCCCCGGCUUAACCGGGGAACUGGCGUAGAUACGACCGUCCUUGAGGGGCGUAGGGGGGACCUGGAACUUCCGGUGGAGCGGUGAAAUGCGUUGAGAUCGGAAGGAACGCCCCGUGGCGAAAGCGAGGUCCUGGACGCCUACUGACGCUGAGACGCGAAAAGCCAGGGGGAGCGAACGGGG
rnacentral:rRNA from 1 species